UUGCAUGGCUGGGCCCCAUAACCUGUCGGAGAGUCGCAAUGAUGGGCAACGGAGAUUACUGAGCGAGCUUACAUGUUUGUGUUUGAAUCUUUGCUAAGAUUAUACCUUCUCUGCAAAUUAGUCAAAGACUUUAAGCUUUAAAAUAAGAAAUAACUACUUUAUUCUGGAAGUAUAUACUUGAUAGGAAAGAGUUCUAUAUCUAGCUAAGUAGCUAGGUUGGAGCAGCUGGCACUGGUCCCAGUGCUAGCCCUCAUGGUGGUUGAGAGGGAGAGACAAAGAGAAGAUGUCUGCUCCCCUCUCGAGAGAGAAGAAGAACUGGGAAGGCCGGAAGGGACUGGGAUCAACAUCCUUUGCACAUCAGUCUAGCAGGAAGGGAGAGACAGCAGGAGAUCAAAGGACAGCAAGAGAAAUCCAAAAGAGGAAGAUCCCACAUGUAUCAGAAUUAAGCACAACAUUAGGGAAAGGAAUCUCAGACUCAAAUGCAUUACACGCAAAAGAUUUGGACACAAAAGCAGCAAAGGAUCCUGUAAGCAAAUCCAAAUCUAAGAAAUGGGAAAAUGCAAGUGUGACCCAUGGUAAGAAGCAAGGAAAGUGCAUUCAGAUGGUGUACAGACAAAGACAUGAGGCACCAGAACAUGCCCACUAUCCUGUUGAUAAUAUGUGGAAUCUUAGGAGCACAUGCAGAGUGGAAGGCAGGUAUCCUGGAGAAUACUGGCAUCGAGCCCAUCCCUGCAAAUGCUUGGAUCUGUUAUCAGGACCCAGAGGUGGAGAUGGCCUGUCGAUUUCCAGGGUUACUGAGUAAUGCUUCCAGGAGACAACAUCUGGAAAAAGAUAUCCUCCAUCAGCUACCUGUCUCACAGAGUGCAGCUUGUGAGGAGUCACGAUUAAUUAAAUGCACCAAGGGUCCCCAGAAGCAGCAAGUUCAUUUUUGCCAUGAUUCUUCUGUGGACACCAAGAUUUCUUGCACCCCAUGAUUUGGUGAAAUGUCCCAAGGCAGCGACAUGAUAUAUGAAGAAGUUUGCAACAUUUUAUGGAUUUCUAUGGUCACUUGGGGGGAGGGAUCACCUUUGCACUUCCAGGUUUUUGUGGCAAGUGCCAAGAAAAGAGGACCUGCUGAUGAACUGGCUCUUGUCCUGAUUUCAUCAAAAGGGCAAGAAUAUCCCAGAACUAUAACGAACUGGAAGAGGUACAAUGGACUUAUGGACGUGACCAAAAUACACACUGUCGGUCCUCCAGACUGAAUAAUGCCUAUCCAGGAAAUGUACUGCCAUUAUGGACAAUAUCAUAUUCCUUUUAAGUCAAUAGGUUAUGUUUCUAUUAUUGAGAAAUAUAGCACACCAAGGUUUUAUAGGUUGGAAGUAGGUUUGUCAUUUAAGAAAAUCAUAACACUGAAUCCCCUUAUUAAAAAAAUAAAUGAAUUAAGCCUUUUGAGAAGCCCUCUUGUCGGAUCUCAUGUGAUUAAAUUGAACCACCCCCAGCAAUUAUUGAUAAAACCAGCGACUGCACUUAAGGAAGUGGUAGUCUCAUUUGAGAAAUUAAAUAUUGCAAAGGAAUUCCCUGUUUGUGCAUCCUAUUUAGAGAUGAGUAAUAGAGGAUGGGAUAAUUGGGUUAAAUUAUGGGAGGGGGAGAAUGGGAAGAGAAAUAAGCGGAAUUUGUCAGGGUGGCUGGGUACUGGAGCUGCUUUUCUGGAUGGUACCAAUAUUGAAAUAUUAGCCAACAAAUUACAUUAUACCACUGAAGAAAUAAGUAAGAUGACAGAACCUAUCAAUAGGGCUCUGGAAAAGACUAGUGAAACCCCCCAAAUCAUAGCCAGUUUACUUCCAAUGUGGGAACAGAGAAUGGAAAAAGAUUAUCAUGACAUAGGAAAUACCAUGCAGUCCUUACGACAGAAUAUUUCCUUGGCCAUUACAUGCACCCAUAUGUAGAACUGGGCCCAUACAGUGGCUUUGGAACUUAUUCACAUGACAGAUAGUGGGUUUAUACCCAGGGAAAUUAGGUUCCUAGUUUGACAUCAAGUGUCCAAGGGAGAAAAAAAAUUGGAAGACUGGUGGAGCCUUGUCAAUGCCACAUAUGAUAAGCAAAAUCAUGCAUUAAGAUUGUCUAUUGUAAUGGUAGAAGCAUCUGAAAUCAUUACUGUAUAUCCUGUAAUUCCAUUGUGAAUCACUGUAGAUCAAGAUUUAGUUCUUUAUGCCCAGGAAGUUCAUCAGUGGGCCAUAAUUAAUCAUGCAAGAUGGGUAACCAUUAAUGUGAAAGGUUGUCAACAUCAUAAGAAGUUAGGAUUUGUUUGUGAAGAUGAUAGUUUGGAAUCCCAUCAAGAUUGCUUUUCUCUCAGAAUGAUUAGUGUAUUGUAUUGCUCUUUCAUGCUAAGAAAUGAAUCAAGUUCAACCAUUGUAUAUUCUGGACAUGGGUGUGUGUGCCUUAGAACAUUUUGUGAUUAUGCUGUUAUUGAUAAGUAUUAUAUACAAACUAUGCUAAGAUAUAUCAAUAGAUGCUUUUGUGGUAUUGAGGAAAUAGUAGGAUGUGAUUUUUCAUUUAAAGUCCCUGUAUGGACCAUCCAGAGAAUAUUAGUUAAUCCAGAUUUGUUUCAAUACCUCAAACCCAUUGCAUUAGGGUAUGGCCUAGCUGAUCUCCAGAAGUUACUUUCUCAUCCUAUGUUACAGAAAUAAUUAGAAGCAGUUAAACAAAUGGGAGAGCAACCUACACUCCAGAUAAAACACGAGUGCCAUACAAUUACCAAUAUAGCAGCCAAGAUCAAACAGAUAGGGGCACAUAAAUGGUGGGAUUCCCUGUUUGGCUGGGGAGAAGGCGCCAAAGGAGGCCUAAACAUUUAAUGCACCCCAUUGUGGUGAUUCUAAUAUGGCAAGUUUUUUUGGUCUUCGUCUUAAUAGCCCUUGUAAUAUGGAUCCGAUCUCAAAUGGCACAGAUACCCCAGAGGGAAUGUCACCCCCCACUGCUGCUUGUGCCCCCCGCUGUCCCCACAGCAUGUUCUGCUGCCCCCGCCACCCCACCUCUUGUUCCACCACCACCCCACCACCACCCUGCCUCUCAUUCCCCCGCCGCUGCUGCAGUUCCUGCAGCCCCCCACCCCAUCUCUCGUUACCCCUGCUGCCGCUGCACCUCCUGCCACCCCCACCUACCUCUCAUU